GGUGGCUCAGUGGUAGAGCACUUGCCUUGCAUGCUAAAGGCCCUGGGUUCGAUUCCUCAGCACCA
rfam:Dipodomys ordii contig_69125, whole genome shotgun sequence.